rnacentral:ncRNA from 1 species
ACGCCCUGCUCGUGAUCGUCUUCUCAACCUUCACCUGCAGGCGGUAUGGGGAAGGGCUCCCGCGAGGACGUGACUCGCGGGAGCCCUUC